CCAAAUAAGCCUAUAAACAGAUGGUCAUUUUUAUAAAAGAUAAAAAUCCAAUAAUAUGGAAGCGAAGAACUUUGUCAAAAUAUAUCAUCCAUUCUUCACUAGAGAAUAACUGAUAUGGUGUAUAUUGAGUUAAAUGGUUACGCAAUGGAAAAGUUAUCGUUGUCAUUCAUAACGAUUUGGGUUAUAAUACGAUGUGUUAAACACGCCAAUAGGGAAGAAACGAAAUGUAUUACUUACAUUGUCAUCAUCACCCUCUAUAACCUACGAUCACCUACCACCAUCCAAUGUCAUCAACACUAACCAAUCUUCACCCUGGAAGCCUACUGUCAACGAGAGCAAUCCAUCAUCAUCUUCAAUAAUCAACUGUCAUCUAAUGUCAGCAACAGAAACCGACCGUAGCUUAUCGUCACCACAUUGGUUUUUUAGUAAACUAACGCACCCACUGAAGCUAAAUACAUUUUAAAUGUUGUAUGGUUGUUUUUACAUACUGAUAUGUCCGGUUUGUUUGUUCUUAGGGGCAAAAACGAUUUCCUCCAAGGCUUCUAUUCUUGGCGACAAAAUAUGAUAUAUUUACAGCUAUGUGGAAUGGACUGUCCCUUGUAACAAAUAAACACCACCUUUUCUUUUGUAUUUUAGUGUUCACAUUGUAGGCCGAAUUUUUCUUCUUUAUAUCGAUCUACAUGCACGUGUAUCUCAACUCUUAAUUCACAUGCCUUUAAAACCUGUGGUCAGAAUGCCAUUUACCAUAGCUAAAUUAUUUUAAAAGACAAGGAGACAAGAAAAAAAGAAACCAAUUCACAAUUGUUA